GUCUUUAAAAUACUUUAUAGAGUGGGCCGAACGAGUUCAGAGUGGGAUAUUCCACGUGUGGGUUGCUCCUUCUGCCUGGGUCCCUGAGUGAGAAGAACUGCCCAUGGCCUCCAUAUACAUACUCUGUUCUAGGUGCUGAGGAUACGUCAGUUAAGAAGACAGUCAAAAUCCCUGCCCUCAUGAUGCUUAUAUUUUUGUGGUUUGGUCUGAAGACUGGACAGAUUGAGCAUAUUGAAAAGGGAGCUUUCUGCCUAAGCUGUCGGACAAAUUCAGUUCAAAGCCAUAGAUGUUGCUUUGUUCUUCCACUUUAAUUGAAAGAAUGAAGAAUAGCUGCCAGUGGUCCUACAAAUUUGAAGAUUUGAAGCCCAUUACAGUGUUGAAGAUGGUUUUCUUCCCGUUGCCAUCAUUUCAAGUUAGGGUGGAUUUGACUCCGAGAGGCUCAGAGCUGUACGUAAGUGGGACCACUCUUUUUCCUUCUCUGGACCCUGUGGAUGUAUUUCAUGAUCAAAUAGCCUUGCAAGAAGCUAUGGGCCUGCGCACCCGGGGUUGGUGGGGAUCCAAAUGGACCAAGGAGGACAGAAGGCCGGUGACCUGGUUUUUUAAAUCACAGCUCCCGGUCUUUUUCCCUCUAGCUUUCUUCCCCAGGUUUAGGGUCCUCUCCGUGCUUCUCUCCACAGAUCUAAGCCCACUCCUUUCCCAGCAUCCUUUCCUGCGGCUUCUUGUAAAAUGCACAUGGGGACACACUCACACGGCAUCUUGUGUGUAUCCCUUCAUGUUAAUCCUUUACUGCCUGACUUGUUUUUUCCCUAUUUACUUUCUUUACAUCGUUCCAGCAUUUACCCCUGCAACUCGAUAAAGUGCCUCUUGAUUCGCCCUUGUCUCUUUUUGCCUUGUCCCUGCGUCCUGGGUGCCGUCCCUUCUCCCCCAUGGGACUGGACUCCACCCGUAGGAAGGGUAUCUCUUCCUGCCUCUGGAUUUUUCCUUCUGCUCCCUGAACAGGAGGUACUCGUCCUGAACACACCAUCGGAUGAUCCUUCAAGUCAGUGAAUUAUUUCUGAAAUUCUGAUUUAAGAUCUUGCUCUAAAUCUGGAUGGGAAUCCAGCAUUUGUCAAGAGCACAUUUUUGUUUUCUUUUUUUUUUUUUUGCAGGGGACGGGGUGGGUUAAAUGAGAGCUGCAGCUGCUGGCCUACACCACAGCCUCAGCAGCAUGGGGUCCAAGCUGCAUCUGCAACCAGUGCCACAGCUUGCCACAACACUGCGACCAGGAUCAAACCCAAAUCCUCGCAGACACUCUUUUGGGUUCUUAACCUGCUGAUCCACAAUAGGAACUCCAAGAACAAAAUUUUCUUGCUUCUGACAUUAUUAGCUCAGGGGUGACAGGAGAAGUGAGAGAGAGAAAGAGAAACAAAACAAAACCCAUGAUUCUGGAGAUGAGCACAAUUUCUUGGGCCAAUUAACUGAGACAGUUCACAUGUUUAUUAUGUUUAAACUAUUGGGUGAUUAAUUUAGGGAGUUUUAUAGGCAGUUUAAUACUCUACUAGAAUCAGACAUAAGCCAGUUUAUAUAAAAGAAGAAACAACCCUGAGAUAGCUCUACCUCUGAUGAUGACUAUGACAAAUGAAAGAUGGGACAUUAAAGAAUUUUCCAUAAAUUGUAUAGUUCAAAAUGUGGUACAAAUAGGGAGUUCCUGUUGUGGCUCAGUGGAAAUGGAUCUGACUAGGAACCAUGAGGUUGUGGGUUCGAUCCCUGGCCUUGUGCAGUGGGUUAAAGAUCUGGCGUUGCCGUGAGCUGUGGAGGUUGCAGACCUGGCUCAGAUCCCGAGUUGCUGUGGCUGGGGCAUAGGCCGGCGGCUACAG
rnacentral:lncRNA from 1 species